GACGAACGCUGGCGGCGUGCUUAACACAUGCAAGUCGAACGGAAAGGCCAUGCUUUUGUGGGGUGCUCGAGUGGCGAACGCGUGAGUAACACGUGAGUAACCUGCCCUUGUCUUUGGGAUAACUUCAGGGAACUGGGGCUAAUACCGCAUAGGAGCUCUUGAAGCAUAGGGGGGGUUGGUAAGUUUCGGCGGUUGGGGAUGGACUCGCGGGUUAUCAGCCUGUUGGUGGGGUUGGGGCUUACCAAGGUUUUGACGGGUAGCCGGCCUGAGCGGGGGGACGGCCACAUUGGGACUGAGGUACGGACCAGACUCCUACGGGAGGCAGCAGGGGGGAACAUGGCACAAUGGGCGGAAGCGUGAUGCAGCAACGCCGCGUGCGUGAUGACGGCCUUCGGGUUGUAAACCACUUUCGCCUGUGACGAAGCGUGAGUGACGGUAAUGGGUAAAGAAGCACCGGCUAACUACGUG
rnacentral:rRNA from 1 species